rnacentral:rRNA from 1 species
UACAGAGGCCUCGAGCGUUGUUCGGAAUUACUGGGCGUAAAGGGAAUGUAGGUGGUGACGUAAGUCAGAUGUGAAAGCCCUGGGCUUAACCUGGGAAGUGCAUUUGAUACUGCGUUGCUUGAGUGCGAGAGAGGAAAGCGGAAUUCCAGGUGUAGGGGUGAAAUCCGUAGAUAUCUGGAGGAAUACCGAUGGCGAAGGCAGCUUUCUGGCUCGUAACUGACACUGAGAUUCGAAAGCGUGGGUAGCAAACAGG